rnacentral:rRNA from 1 species
GACGAACGCUGGCGGCGUGCUUAACACAUGCAAGUCGAACGGUGAAGCGCCUUCCUUUUUGGUGGGUGUGGAUGAGUGGCGAACGGGUGAGUAACACGUGAGUAACCUGCCCCCUUCUUCUGGAUAACCGCAUGAAAGUGUGGCUAAUACGGGAUAUUCUGGGUCUGUCGCAUGAUGGGUCUGGGAAAGAUCUUGUUUCGGUGGGGGAUGGGCUCGCGGCCUAUCAGCUUGUUGGUGGGGUGAGGGCCUACCAAGGCGGUGACGGGGAGCCGGCAUGAGAGGGUGGGCGGACCCACAGGAGCUGAGGCACGGCUAAGACUACUACGGGAGGCAGCAGUGGGGAAUAUUGAACAAUGGGAGCAAGACUGAUGCAGCGCCGCAGCGUGAGGGAUGGAGGCCUUCGGGUUGUCAACCUCUUUCGCCAGUGACGCAGGCCUGCCUCGUUUGUGGGUGGGUUGACGGUAGCUGGAGAAGAAGCGCCGGCUAACUACGUG